rnacentral:rRNA from 1 species
GUAGGUGGCAAGCGUUGUCCGGAAUUAUUGGGCGUAAAGCGCGCGCAGGCGGUUCUUUAAGUCUGAUGUGAAAGCCCACGGCUCAACCGCGGAGGGUCAUUGGAAACUGGAGAACUUGAGUACAGAAGAGGAAAGCGGAAUUCCACGUGUAGCGGUGAAAUGCGUAGAGAUGUGGAGGAACACCAGUGGCGAAGGCGGCUUUCUGGUCUGUAACUGACGCUGAGGCGCGAAAGCGUGGGGAGCAAACAGGGAUUAGAUACCCUGGUAGUCCACGCCGUAAACGAUGAGUGCUAAGUGUUAGGGGGGUUUCCGCCCCCGUUAGUGCUGCAGCUAACGCAUUAAGCACUCCGCCUGGGGAUACGGCCGCAAGGCUG